rnacentral:tRNA from 1 species
GGAAUGGUAGCGCAUAUAAUACGUUGUUUAUGUUGGUAAAUGAUGGGUAAGUGACUGAUACAAAAAGGGGGUGUUUCAGACUCGAAAUCGGAUGGGGGGCAACCCCACGUGGGUUCGAAUCCCACCCUCUCCGCCA